rnacentral:lncRNA from 1 species
GUCGCCAUGGGAAUGUGCUGUAGGGGGAGGCAGGUGUUGCUCGGAGCGCCAGCCUCUGUUCCUAUGCAGGCAGGGCCAUCAGGCACCAGAAGGAUUUUGCCAGCAUAGUGCUCCUGGACCAGCGAUACGCCCGGCCCCCUGUCCUGGCCAAGCUGCCGGCCUGGAUCCGAGCCCGCGUGGAGGUCAAAGCUACCUUUGGCCCCGCCAUUGCUGCUGUGCAGAAGUUUCACCGGGAGAAGUCGGCCUCUUCCUGAUGGGCAACCACACCACCGCCCGGCGCCGUGCCCUUCCUUUGUCCUGCCCUCUGGAGACAGUGUUUGUCGUGGGCGUGGUCUGCAGGGAUCCUGUUACAAAGGUGAAACCCAGGAGGAGAGUGUGGAGUCCAGAGCGCUGCCAGGACCCAGGCACAGGCGUUAGCUCCCGUAGGAGAAAAUGCGGGAAUCCUGAAUGAACAGUGGGUCCUGGCUGUCCUUGGGGCGUUCCAGGGCAGCUCCCCUCCUGGAAUAGAAUCUUUCUUUCCAUCCUGCAUGGCUGAGAGCCAGGCCUCCCGCUUGGUCUCCACAGGAGGCUGUGGCAGCUGUGGCAUCCACUGUGGCAUCUCCGUCCUGCCCACCUUCUUAAGAGGCGAGAUGGAGCAGGCCCAUCUGCCUCUGCCCUUUCUAGCCAAGGUUAUAGCUGCCCUGGACUGCUCACUCUCUGGUCUUAAUUUAAAAUGAUCCCAUGGCCACAGGGCUCCUGCCCAGGGGCUUGUCACCUUCCCCUCCUCCUUCCUGAGUCACUCCUUCAGUAGAAGGCCCUGCUCUCUAUCCUGCCCCAUAGCCCUGCCUGGAUUUGUAUCCUUGGCUUCGUGCCAGUUCCUCCAAGUCUAUGGCACCUCCCUCCCUCUCAACCACUUGAGCAAACUCCAAGACACCUUCUACCCCGACACCAGCAAUUAUGCCAAGGGCCAUUAGGCUCUCAACAUGACUAUAGAGACCCCGUAUCAUCAUGGAGACCUUUGUUCCUGUGGGAAAAUAUCCCUCCCACCUGCAACAGCUGCCCCUGCUGACUGCGCCUGUCUUCUCCCUCUGACCCCAGAGAAAGGGGCCGUGGUCAGCUGGGAUCUUCUGCCACCAUCAGGGACAAACCGGGGGCAGGAGGAAAGUCACUGAUGCCCAGCUGUUUGCAUCCUGCACAGCUACAGGUCCUUAAUUAAAAGUGUACUGUUGGUUUCUGCUGAGUUUUUCAUUGAUAUGUGCUGCUGUUUUCUCUGGAAGCCUCUUUAGGGAAUCG